rnacentral:lncRNA from 10 species
GUGAGCCACCACACCCGGCCCUUAUUUCUCUUUAAUGAAUCUGACUGCCCCUUGGUUUCAGCAAUUCCGGCUAACGGAGGUUUCACCGGAGACCUGCACUGACACACCCAAGUGUCUUUCUCAGCGCUGGUGACCUGUGGAUGCGUCCAGGGCAAAAUGCUGAACUGUUAUCCUUGUGCUCCGGCCGUUUCCCUCCUCAAACUUCAGGGAGACCUUCUGGUGCAAAACAUUGGCAAGAAUGUGAGGAGCAAGUGGGACCAUCGGGGAGGGAUCCCCUUAGAAUUGGGAAACGGGAGCUUCAUACUGCUCAGGAAAUCACACUGAAACCGAGGCCCAGGGCAACAGUGGAAACUCAGGAGUGAAAAGCAAGAAUCUAAGUCACGGGACGUUCCAUUGCCCUCAUGCUGUACCCUGGGAACUCACUUUGGGUAAUUACCAAGGAAAAAUCAGAAUCUUGGAUCCCAGGAAGAAAGGUGCACCAUGCUUGGUCCCUGGUUGGCCCCACCUCUCUUUACGACCACCUACGAAGAAAGCAUGAUCUGAAAUUCCAAAGCUUUCUUCCUUUACUAUCAGGCUUUCUGCCCCGCCCCCAGCAAUGCAGAGACAUGCAAUGUGAAAACCCAAUCAACCCGUCAGCAAGUCCUGGUUUUACACCCCUUCUUGUCGACCUGGUGGUUGGGGCCUUCUGCAGGCUGAGUGGCAGGUGGCUUGGGAAAUGAAACCCUUAAUAAUCACCCAAAGCUAAUUCUCACCCACAAUGACCAGAGUAAUCUUUGCCCAACUGAGGUCCAGACACCGUGGCUGUGAGGGUUAAUUUUAGGGAAGUUGACUGGACUGAGGGAUGCAGAGAUGGCAGGUGACAGAAAGAAUGUUUCUGGGGGUGUCUGUGAGGGUGUUUCUGUAACCGAGCCUGAUGUGGUUUUGAUCUGUGUCCCCACCCAAAUCUCAUGUUGAACUGGAAUCCCAAGUAUUGGAGGUGGGGCCUGCUGGGAGGUGAUUGGAUCGUGGGGGUGGAUUUCCCAUAAGUGGUUUUGCACCAGGAAUCCUCUGGGUGCCGUACUCCCAAUAGUGAGGGAGUUCUCUUGAGAUGUGGUCAUUUAAAAGUGUGUGGCACCUCCUCCCUCCCUCUGCUUCUGCUCUGGCCAUGUGAUGAUGUGCCUGCUCCCCCUUUACCUUCUGCCACAAUUGGAAGCUUCCUGAGGCCUCCCCAGAAGUCAAGCAGGAGCCAGCACUAUUCUUCCUGUACAGCCUGCAAAACCAUGAGCCAAUUA